rnacentral:lncRNA from 1 species
GAAGAGUGAGCCACAGUGUCCCUUCAAGGGAGGGUGUCCUAAGUUUAGGUGCCAAAGAGUUCAGGAAGGAACAACCAAAAAAAGCUUUUUUUUUUUUUUUUUAGAAAUGUGGACAUAUGAGAUGCUUCCACCAUCCUUCUGUAGACACCUCCUCUCUUGUGGCUGGGCAGGAGAGUCUCAUCACCACCUGCAACCACGUGUGCAGAGUGGGAAAGGCUUAACUUUGGAAAAUGCAGAGUCCGUGGAACCUUCUCAGAGUCUCUUGACAUUAUAUCGAGGAGAAGAGAGACAGAAAAGGCAAAGGGAUCUUAAGAAAGAAUUGGAGAUGCCAGAUGCUGGCUGUGUCCUUUACGUGUCACCUCACUGAAUGAAAUGAGUUGGGAUGAGGAGGGCAACCAUCUUUCCUUAGGAGAGGAAGACAUUGGACACCAAAGACCCGAUGAGAAGUGGUAUCUGCGGACAGGCCGCAAUGAAGUGAACUAUCCAGUGGAAACAGCAAAGAGCAAACAAUCACUGAAGUGUCUCGGCUUUAAAGCUCCAGGGUGUUCCAUUUGCCCUUUGCCAUAAAAAUGACAGAGUUGGGUUAAGGAUUCUGUACCCCUUAUUAGCCAUUAGCAUUAACAACAAAGAUGAAAGACCCCAAAGGCAAUUUUUGUCACUGAGAUCUGAAUUUAUUUCCCUUCGCUGAAUCUUAAAUUAGUAGUUAACUGAUGGCGAGAUCUGUACCAAGA